rnacentral:rRNA from 1 species
GUGGGGAAUCUUAGACAAUGGGGGCAACCCUGAUCUAGCCAUGCCGCGUGAGUGAUGAAGGCCUUAGGGUCGUAAAGCUCUUUCGCUGGGGAAGAUAAUGACGGUACCCAGUAAAGAAACCCCGGCUAACUCCGUGCCAGCAGCCGCGGUAAUACGGAGGGGGUUAGCGUUGUUCGGAAUUACUGGGCGUAAAGCGCGCGUAGGCGGAUUGGAAAGUUGGGGGUGAAACCCCGGGGCUCAACCCUGGAAUGGCCUUCAAAACUCCCAGUCUUGAGGUCGAGAGAGGUGAGUGGAAUUCCGAGUGUAGAGGUGAAAUUCGUAGAUAUUCGGAGGAACACCAGUGGCGAAGGCGGCUCACUGGCUCGAUACUGACGCUGAGGUGCGAAAGCGUGGGGAGCAAACAGGAUUAGAAACCCCGGUAGUCC